rnacentral:rRNA from 1 species
CAGUCGCCGCGGGAAUACGUAGGGUGCAAGCGUUAAUCGGAAUUACUGGGCGUAAAGCGUGCGCAGGCGGUUUGUUAAGACAGAUGUGAAAUCCCCGGGCUCAACCUGGGAACUGCAUUUGUGACUGGCAAGCUAGAGUAUGGCAGAGGGGGGUGGAAUUCCGCGUGUAGCAGUGAAAUGCGUAGAUAUGCGGGGGAACACCGAUGGCGAAGGCAGCCCCCUGGGCCAAUACUGACGCUCAUGCACGAAAGCGUGGGGAGCAAACAGGAUUAGAUACCCCCGUAGUCCCUGUCUCUUAUAC